AACGAACGCUGGCGGCAUGCCUAACACAUGCAAGUCGAACGAGACCUUCGGGUCUAGUGGCGCACGGGUGCGUAACGCGUGGGAACCUGCCCUUAGGUUCGGAAUAACUCCCCGAAAGGGGUGCUAAUACCGGAUAAUGUCUUCGGACCAAAGAUUUAUCGCCUUUGGAUGGGCCCGCGUUGGAUUAGCUAGUUGGUAGGGUAAAAGCCUACCAAGGCGACGAUCCAUAGCUGGUCUGAGAGGAUGAUCAGCCACACUGGGACUGAGACACGGCCCAGACUCGUGGGGGAGGAAGGGGGGGGAAAGAUGGGGAGAGGGGCGAAAGCCAGAUCCGGGAGGGCCGGGGGGGUAAGGACGGAAUUGGGGUUGUAAAGCUUUUUCACCGGGGAAGAAAAUGACAGGACCGGAAGAAGGAGCUCCGGCUAACUCCGCGGCAGCAGCCGCGAUAAUAUUAGGAAGAGCAAGCGUCUGAAC
rnacentral:rRNA from 1 species